GACGUAGGGGCCAGCGUUGUUCGGAAUUAUUGGGCGUAAAGAGCUCGUAGGCGGUUUGUUGCGUCGGCUGUGAAAUCCCGAGGCUCAACCUCGGGUCUGCAGUCGAUACGAGCAAACUAGAGUGUUGCAGGGGAGACUGGAAUUCCUGGUGUAGCGGUGAAAUGACGCAGAGUAUCAGGAGGAACACCGGUGGCGAAGGCGGAUCUCUGGGCCUGUCCGUGACGCUC
rnacentral:rRNA from 1 species